rnacentral:tRNA from 1 species
GAGGGUAUAGCUCAAGUGGUAGAGUGUGUGCUUAGCAUGCUCGAGGUCCUGGGUUCAAUCCUCAGUACCUCUU